rnacentral:rRNA from 1 species
UACGGAGGAUGCAAGCGUUAUCCGGAAUGAUUGGGCGUAAAGCGUCCGCAGGUGGCUAUGUAAGUCUGCUGUUAAAGAGUCUGGCUCAACCAGAUAAAGGCAGUGGAAACUACAUGGCUAGAGUGCGUUCGGGGCAGAGGGAAUUCCUGGUGUAGCGGUGAAAUGCGUAGAGAUCAGGAAGAACACCGGUGGCGAAAGCGCUCUGCUAGGCCGCAACUGACGCUGAGAAGCGAAGCAUGGGGAGCGAACAGG